rnacentral:rRNA from 1 species
AUUGAACGCUGGCGGCAGGCCUAACACAUGCAAGUCGAACGAGUGGCGGACAGGUGAGUAAUGUCUGGGAAACUGCCUGAUGGAGGGGGAUAACUCCUGGCAACGGUAGCUCAUACCGCAUACCAUCAGAUGUGCCCAGAUGUGGUUAUCUAGUAGUUGGGGUAACGCCUCACCUAGGCGCCGAUCCCUAGAUGGUAUGAGAGGAUGAACAGCCACACUGGAACUGAGACACGGUCCAGACUCCUACGGGAGGCAGCAGUGGGGAAUAUUGCACAAUGGGCGCAAGCCUGAUGCAGCCAUGCCGCGUGUGUGAAGAAGGCCUUCGGGUUGUAAAGCACUUUCAGCGGGGAGGCGUUACUCGCAGAAGAAGCACCGGCUAACUCCGUGCCAGCAGCCGCGGUAAUAC